UGCACAGUGUAGAGGGGUUUAUGUAAACCUCUCGACCAUAAGGGCCGGGCGUAGCCCGAGGGAGAUGUGUGGUUUACUGUCAUAAACACCAAGGCACUCUGAUAUAUGUCCCAUCUGAUUGGGCAUCCAGCCUAUAUAUAAGCUUGCAUGACUAACUACCACAAGCAACACAAGACAACUAGGAAAAGAUAGCUUGUCCACCACCAGGGCUCCUGUCUACACUCAAAGCCUUGCCCAGCCUGCAUGGACAGAAUAUGAGCAACCAGCCUCCAAGCGAACGCAACCAGCCAGAAGAAAACACGGCUCUAGACCCCAGCUUUCUUCUAUCCCAGGCUAGUAGGCGAGCAAAGGCCUAGUGCAGUGAGCAAGGCUCAGCCUGAGCCCUAGCCCUCUCCCAGUCAACUAAAGCAACUCCUCCUCUCCUUAAACAAGUGAAAUUGCCUCAUAUCCUUCUGUAAGCACAUGGCAGAAUGUUCAAUGAACUAGUCCACUGAAUACACCCAAACUCUAUGUUUUCAUUCAUGACAUUACAUUACGCAAGACAUUUCAUUUAUUUCAUUCCUCUUGAAAAACAACUUGUAAUUUCACCGCAUAAUUAUGCUUGAGGUGCCAAUUUAUGAGCCAUAUUUUC